rnacentral:rRNA from 1 species
GACGAACGCUGGCGGCGUGCCUAACACAUGCAAGUCGAACGGAGAUGUUAAGGAAGUUUUACUGAAUUAAUGUCUUAGUGGCGGACGGGUGAGUAACGCGUGGGCAACCUACCCAUAAGCGGGGGAUAACAGUUGGAAACGACUGCUAAUACCGCAUAAGCUAUUAAGGUCGCAUGACCUAAAUAGUAAAGGUGGCAUUUUAACAAUGCUAUCACUUAUGGAUGGGCCCGCGUCUGAUUAGCUAGUUGGUGGGGUAGUGGCCUACCAAGGCAACGAUCAGUAGCCGGCCUGAGAGGGUGGACGGCCACACUGGGACUGAGACACGGCCCAGACUCCUACGGGAGGCAGCAGUGGGGAAUAUUGCGCAAUGGGGGAAACCCUGACGCAGCGACGCCGCGUGAGCGAAGAAGGCCUUAGGGUCGUAAAGCUCUGUUGUAAGGGACGAAUGUUUGUCUGGCGAACAGUCAGAUAAAGUGACGGUACCUUACCAGCAAGCCCCGGUAACUACGUGCC